AAACCUCUAGUGCACCAAUUAUCGCGCCAGCGGUAUCGUUGGGUAGCUAUGUUUGGAAUGGAUAAGCACUGAAAGCAUCUAAGUGCGAAGCCAACCUCAAGAUAAGGUAUCGUUUUCACUUCGGUGAAUAAAGGCUCCUCGUAGACUACGAGGUUGAUAGGUUGCAUGUGUAAGGGCAGUAAUGUCCUCAGCUAAGCAAUACUAAUUGGCCGAAUGCUUGACCUU
rnacentral:rRNA from 1 species